GCCACUGUAGUGUAGUGGUUUGCGUGUUCAACUAUGAUUCUGGAGACCGGGUUCAAUUCUCUGCUGGGCCA